CUGGCGGCGUGCCUAUCAUGCAAGUCGAACGAGUUCUCGUUGAUGAUCGGUGCUUGCACCGAGAUUCAACAUGGAACGAGUGGCGGACGGGUGAGUAACACGUGGGUAACCUGCCCUUAAGUGGGGGAUAACAUUUGGAAACAGAUGCUAAUACCGCAUAGAUCCAAGAACCGCAUGGUUCUUGGCUGAAAGAUGGCGUAAGCUAUCGCUUUUGGAUGGACCCGCGGCGUAUUAGCUAGUUGGUGAGGUAAUGGCUCACCAAGGCGAUGAUACGUAGCCGAACUGAGAGGUUGAUCGGCCACAUUGGGACUGAGACACGGCCCAAACUCCUACGGGAGGCAGCAGUAGGGAAUCUUCCACAAUGGACGCAAGUCUGAUGGAGCAACGCCGCGUGAGUGAAGAAGGCUUUCGGGUCGUAAAACUCUGUUGUUGGAGAAGAAUGGUCGGCAGAGUAACUGUUGCCGGCGUGACGGUAUCCAACCAGAAAGCCACGGCUAACUACGUGCCAGCAGCCGCGGUAAUACGUAGGUGGCAAGCGUUAUCCGGAUUUAUUGGGCGUAAAGCGAGCGCAGGCGGUUUUUUA
rnacentral:rRNA from 1 species